rnacentral:lncRNA from 1 species
GCAGCUACUUCGAGGUGAGUUACCUUCCAGUAGCGGUGGGUCUACGGCCACAAUGCCGGCCCACCAGUAGGAGUNNNNNNNNNNNNNNNNNNNNNNNNNNNNNNNNNNNNNNNNNNNNNNNNNNNNNNNNNNNNNNNNNNNNNNNNNNNNNNNNNNNNNNNNNNNNNNNNNNNNNNNNNNNNNNNNNNNNNNNNNNNNNNNNNNNNNNNUUGCAUGCUAGCUUGUUAUGUUAUAUGAGAUAAAGGUAGUAAGAGGGGACUAGUCCCCGAGGAUCGGUUGUUAGGACCGAUGGGUAGUCAGCACCCCAGAAUGGCUUGACAUGGGUAGUCAGCACCCCAGAAUGUCUUGACAUGGAUAGUCAGCACCCCAGAAUGGCUUGACACGGGUAUUCGGCACCCCAGAAUGGCCGUACCGGGUAGUCAGGCACCCCAGAAUAGCCUGGCAGUAUGCGUGUUAUUUGUUUGUAUGGUAUAUGGGAUGAUGGGGGAACUCACUAAGCUUUGUGCUUAUAGUUUACAGUUUUGGUUUCAGGUACCUCUUCGUCAAAGGGGAAGGAACUGGCGCGGUAGCGGCACAUCAUGCACACAUAUUGGUUUCCGCACUUACGAGAUUAUCUGGCAUUUAUACUCUGAUAUUUUGAUGGUUGUAUGAUUUGGCUUUUAGACAUGGUUUACGUUUUGUUAUGGUUUGAUCAAACAAUGUUUUAAACUGUUAAUGUUUUUCUAAAGUAAUGUUUUUAAAACGAAUUUUUUGGACGUGAAAUUUGGGUCGUUACAAGUUGGUAUCAGAGCCCUGGUUUGAGGGAUUCGGACUCACCUUCGGGGGUGUCUGAACUCAAAUCGAGGGAUUAAAAGAAAAUGUUUUCUAAAAAUUGAGAAAAGAGUUUAAGAAAGAACGAAGGGUGUGAUGUGCGUGACCGGCCGAGCUCAGGUAAGUAUUCCCCAAAGUACCCAUACAAGUUUAUGUUAUGAUUAUCAGCUUUUGUAGAACAGCAUGCUAGAAUAGGACUAAGGAUCUAGGAGUGAUGCCUUAUGUGCCUGCUUUAUGUGUUUCAGCUGUAUGAGAAUUGCAUGCAAGUAUCGAGUAUACAUCAGUAGGGUAGCCUGUUAGGGUUGUGCCCGAUAGUAUGAGUUAGCACUGCGUGCUAGUUCAGUUUCCCUCUAUGAGAGCGGAAUUGCUUGAGAUUGUUUCCUUUGUCUAAAUGCUGCUUGCUUCGUGCUAUGUGGGACUCCGAAUAAUGGGAAUUAGCCAUUAGGCGAAUACGUCACGUCACAUGUGAUCAGAGUUGAAUAAUCUUAGAGUACCGAAUUUGAUCCUACUGCACAACUCAUGUUUGAGUCCAACCGUUGUAGGGACGAGUCGGGUACUCGAAGGAUUAUCUGAGUCUCGUCGCGUGUGAUGGUAUUCGGGUGAUGGCUAAUUGGCAUUACAAGGAGGUCUGCAGCAGCUGAGGACUAGAUCGAGUAGAGUCGGAGAUUUCCUAGGGCGAGCCUGGGAUGAGUAUAGUAGUGAUCAACAAUAGUGAAAGGGAUCUGGUGGAGUCGAGGCAGUCCUUGAAGAAGGUACGGAUAGAUGUGGAAGGUAGUAUGGGCCCGUACUACUGAAAGCAGAGGAUCCGUACUCGAACCAAGGAAGGCCAAGACAAGACUAAGGAACUUGUAAGUAGUGGUAAACCCUUAGGAAGUAUCAGUAUCUCUAAUGAUUGUUGUGAUGUAUUGCAGAAUAGUGGUACUUCGAUCGAGGCCGGUAGAUGGCGGUUCAGGAGAGGGUCAGGUUCGGGAUCAGGUUCCGAGCCGGUAGAUGAGGGAGUACGCGAGUUCAUCGCGUCAGAGAUCACCAGGGGCAUCCUUGAGUUGACCCCCAUCCUCUUUGGGUCGAUCAAGGAAGGGAUCAUGGAGUUGAUGGAGGAUCGCCUGCGGGCAUUCAGGAGUGAUUUGGCAUCUAGUCAGUCGGGAUCUCGCACACUGUCCUUCAAGGACUUCAGGGGCAGUGGUGCGCCGGAUUUCCAUGGGGUGAAAGACCCCAUUGCUGCCAGGCGAUGGAUUGCAGACAUCGAGUCUGCACAGUUGACUAGCUUCUGCCCCGAGGGGUCGAAGGUGAGGUAUGCAGCAGGGUGUUUAUGGGACCGAGCCCGGGAUUGGUGGGAGUCAGUGGGUGACUCGUUGGGAGCCUCAGCUAUCGAGGCUAUGACCUGGUCGGACUUUGUGACCAGGUUCAGGGCAGAGUUUGCGCCGGCUGUCGAGCUUCAGCAGCUGGCAAGGGAGUUUCUAGACAUGAGACAGACGACGGAGACUGUGGCGGAGAUCACCGCCAAGUUCCGGGAGAGGGCUUUGUUGGUGCCCUAGUACGCUGGUGACGAGGAUAUGAGGAUGACUCGUUAUCACGAUAUGCUACGAGCUGACAUUCAGGAGCAUGUUAGCUUUUCGGCUUGCCCUACCUUGGACUCUAUGAUCGCUAGGGCGAGGGAGAGGGAGAUAGAUUUGGAGCACAUCCGGAAACGGAAAUCAGAGGAGGGACAGACAGGAGGGGCUUCGGGGAAGAAGCCCAAGGGAUCAGAUGGUAGGCCGAAAGGCCAGUCAGGACCGAGCUGCACCAGGAAAUGCGGCAGGCCGCACGAGGGGGCGUGCAGGAUGGGAUCAUCAGGCUGCUACAAGUGCGGCAAGUCUGGGCACAUCAGCAGGGAUUGCACUGCUCCGGCAGCAGUUAUUCAGACAUCAGAGUUGUUGUGUUUCCACUGCAACCAGAGGGGCCACAAGAAGGCCAAUUGCCCCCAGUUGACAGUUUCAGCGCCGGUGAAGGCGCCAGCUCCAGCGACCCUGCGGAUCACGGAUGGCCGGCAGGGCAAGGCAGAGGCUCCGGUGGUGAGGAGCCGAGCAUUCCAGUUGACUACCGAGGAGGCACGCGCCGCACCCGAUGUGGUGACGGGUAUGAUUCUUUCCCUCUAUUUUUUAUUUUAUGAUGUUAUGAUAUUGAUAUGUGCUCCGUAUGUAUAUGUAUGCAUUAGGAUCGUUCCAUGUGAACGACAUCCCAGUUCAGGUAUUGUUCGACUCGGGUGCAUCCCGAUCAUUUGUUUCUCUUGCGCUUAGCAAGAAGUUUCAUGAGACUUCGGGCGAGUUAGAUUGCCCUUUAGAGGUAGAGAUUGCUGAUGAUCGAUCGGUGCGAGCAUCAAUGGUGUUUCGAGAUUGCGUUCUGCGUUUGUUUGAGGAGCGUUACUUGGUAGACUUGGUUCCCAUUCCUUUGCACGGGAACAAGGUGAUUAUUGGCAUGGAUUGGUUGAGCCCCAUUGGGGCGGUGAUAGAUUGCGCGCAGCAGUUAGUGCGGGUCAGGACCCCAAGUGGGGGGGAGUUACUGAUUCAUGGCGAGAGGCCGCAGGGUGGACCCACCGUAUGUUCAGCAGCGAGGGCUAGGCGCUAUCUUCAGUAGGGAUGUGCAGGAUAUGUCGCGUAUGUGAUGGAUACCCGGGAGGCGGGUAAGGCGACAGUGAGCGAGGUUCCGGUGGUUCGAGAUUUUGCAGAUGUUUUCCCGGAGGAGCUACCUGGGAUACCUCCGGAGCGACAGGUGGAGUUCAGGAUUGACCUUGUUCCUGGUGCGGCUCCGAUAGCCAAAGCACCGUAUCGGUUGGCUCCUCCCGAGAUGCAGGAGUUGUCUACGCAGCUGCAGGAGCUGUUAGACAAGGGUUUCAUUCGGCCGAGCAGUUCGCCUUGGGGAGCGCCGAUCCUGUUUGUGAGGAAGAAGGAUGGGUCGCAUCGUAUGUGUAUAGAUUAUCGGGAGUUGAAUAAGGUAACGGUGAAGAACCGUUACCCACUUCCGAGGAUAGAUGAUUUGUUUGAUCAGCUUCAGGGAGCGUCUUGGUUCUCCAAGAUCGAUCUACGCUCCGGUUAUCAUCAGAUGCGGGUUAGAGAUGAGGAUGUACAGAAGACUGCUUUCAGGACCAGGUAUGGUCAUUAUGAGUUUGUGGUGAUGCCAUUUGGGCUCACCAAUGCUCCAGCCGCGUUCAUGGAUCUCAUGAACCGCGUGUGUAGACCGAUGCUGGAUCGGUCAGUGAUAGUGUUCAUAGAUGACAUCUUGGUAUAUUCCAAGACGCAGGAGCAGCACGAGGAGCACCUGCGGGAGGUGCUGGAGGUUUUGAGGAGGGAGAGACUUUUCGCAAAGUUCUCCAAAUGUGAGUUCUGGUUGCGCGAGGUGCAGUUCCUUGGUCACCUCGUCAACCAGAAGGGUAUUUUGGUAGAUCCGGCCAAGAUAGAGGCCGUGAUGCAGUGGGAGGUCCCGAAGUCUCCAUCUGAGAUUCGGAGCUUCCUAGGGUUGGCAGGGUAUUAUCGGAGAUUUAUUCAGGAUUUCUCCAAGAUAGCAGUGCCGCUCACCCGACUGACCAAGAAGUCAGUGGUAUUUCGUUGGGGUCCGGAGCAGCAGACAGCAUUCGAGACCCUCAGGCAGAGAUUGUGCGAGGCUCCGAUCCUUACCUUGCCAGAGGGAGUAGAGGACUUUGUAGUCUAUUGUGAUGCCUCGAUCACAGGUUUGGGAGCAGUUCUGAUGCAGCGAGGCCAUGUGAUAGCUUAUGCCUCGAGACAGUUGAAGCCUCACGAGGCUAAUUAUCCUACCCAUGAUUUGGAGCUGGGGGCAGUUGUGUUUGCCCUCAAGAUUUGGAGGCAUUACCUUUAUGGGGUCCGUUGUACUAUUUACACGGAUCACAAGAGUUUGAGGUACCUUAUGGAUCAGCCGAGUCUGAAUAUGAGGCAGAGGAGGUGGUUGGAUGUGCUAAAGGAUUACGACUGUGAGAUCCUUUACCAUCCAGGGAAGGCCAACGUGGUGGCCGAUGCCCUGAGCCGCAAAGUGUCGGCGGCCCCUAUCAGAGAUCUAUGUUUGAGGAUGACAGUGAUCACUCCGUUGUUGGAGCGGAUCAAGGAGGCUCAGGUGGAGGGUCUCAAGGAGGAGAGACAGAAGUGUGAGAGGAUCGUGGGCCGAGUAGCCUCGUUUGAUUAUGAUAGUCGUGGUUUGCUGACGCUUCACGGGAGAGUGUGGGUACCGUACUGGGGUGGAGUACGGCAAGUGUUGAUGGAUGAGGCUCAUAAGUCUCGGUUUUCUAUCCACCCAGGGGCGACGAAGAUGUACCGAGAUCUUCGACUAGAUUAUUGGUGGCCCUGCAUGAAGCGGGAUGUGGCAUGGUACUUUGAGCGGUGUUUGACUUGCAGGAAGGUCAAGGUCAAACAUCAGAGACCGCAUGGCAAGAUGCAGUCGUUGGAUAUUCCACUGUGGAAAUGGGAAGAUAUCACGAUGGAUUUUAUCACGAAGCUUCCCAGGACCGCGCGUGUAGUGGAUUCGAUUUGGGUCAUCGUAGAUAGAUUGACCAAGAGUGCUCAUUUUAUCCGGAUUCAGGAGAGCAUAUCGGCCGAGAAAUUGGCCGACAUCUAUAUCAGGGAGAUCGUGGCGCGGCACGGGGUGCCGGUAUCGGUGAUCUCGGACAAGGAUGUGCGUUUUACUUCCAGAUUUUGGAAGAGAUUUCAUGACGAGUUGGGCACUCGUUUGCAUUUUAGUACCGCCUUUCACCCGCAGACGGAUGGUCAAAGCGAGCGGACCAUCCAGACUUUGGAGGAUAUGUUGUCGGCAUGCGUGUUGGAUUUCGGUGGUAGCUGGGAUACCUAUCUUCCCUUGGCCGAGUUCUCAUACAACAACAGCUACCACGCGAGUAUUGACCGUCCUCCAUUUGAGAUGUUGUACGGUUGGAGGUGCAGGACCCCGAUAUGUUGGGGUAAGGUUGGCCAGAGAGUCAUGGGGAGCACCGAAGUGGUGCUCAAGAUGACCGAGAGGAUUUAGGAGUUCCAGAGCAGGCUUCAGACUGCUCAGAGUCGGCAGAAAAGUUAUGCCGACAAGCGUCGAUCCGACUUGGAAUUCCAAGUCGGGGAUAUGGUUCUCCUGAAGGUGUCGCCUUGGAAAGGCGUCAUUCAAUUCAGGAAGCGGGGCAAGUUGGGCCCGAGAUUCAUCGGACCGUUCAGGGUCGUAGCCCGAGUGGGCAAGGUGGCGUAUAGGCUGGAUCUGCCAGCCGAGCUCAGCCAGAUCCACAGCACUUUCCAUGUUUCUCAGCUGCGGAAGUGCCUAGUGGACGAUUCAGCGGUAGUGCUGUUAGAGGAUAUUCAGGUUGAUGACAGCCUGAAUUACAUUGAGCGCCCAGUCGCAAUCCUCGACAGGAAGUCGAAGGAUUUGCGGAACAAGAACGUGGAGCUAGUGAAGGUGCAAUGGCAGCACCGCAAGGGUUCGGAAUGGACUUGGGAGCCGGUGGAUGAGAUGAUGGAGCAUUACCCCGAGCUAUUUCAGGAUCGAGCAGCAGACUUCGAGGACGAAGUCUAAAAUAAGUGGGGGAGAUUUGUAGCACCUGGUUCCUGGUUUUGAGGCAAAAGGGGAAGAAGAUCAAGAGGAAGAGAAGGAAUCCAGGCAUCCUUGUACUCCCUCAGCAGUUCCUUUGAGGAAUAAUCCGUUUUCCCCCUGUUUCUAUGCUCAUUACUUCAUUUAAGUCAUUCUUGAGCCAAUCCCCAAGUUUGUAUGUGCAAAUUAUUCUAUAAUAAGUUGUUUGGCCCUUAGAUCUAGGCAUUGUUGAGCUCCAGGAGCUUAGAUCUAUUGCCUUUAUGGACUCUUAUUACAUGAAGACCCUAGAUCUACCCUUUUGAGUGCAUAUUGAACCCUAAAAUCUAUAUUGGUGAAUAUCUACACGUAAAUUUGGAAACUUUACGUGUGAUUCGUGUUCUAGGAGUCCAAAUCUGCGAAUGGCAUGGACUGGAAUCGAGCAGAUUUGUGUAUUUAGUGAGUGCAUGGCAACGACUCGGCAAGUCAUUCAUGUGACUCAGCGAGUCUGUUCGCGAGUCUCCGAGUUUGUCCCCGUUUCGUAGUGUCGAGUGAGCAGUGAGUCACGGGGUGUGACUCAGUAGGUCAGAAGCUGAACUCAUCUAUGGAGGAACUCGGCGAGUCAAUGCCCUGACUCGGUGAGUUCAAGGCAAUCUCCUUAGAUCAAGAACAGACUCGGCAAGUUGUUCAUACAACUCGGCGAGUCUUAGCAUAAGUGUUCUUCGGAUGAAGAUGAACUCGACGAGUUGUUCAUACACCUCGGCGAGUAGGAUGAAGGACUUGAGUAUCAGUUUAGAAGGAGAACUCGUUGAGUCGUCGCCUAACUCGACGAGUAGAAACGGGAUUCAGGGCAAACGUUUGGUUAGGGACUCGGCGAGUCGGGUCAAUUGAAAGUUGACGCUAACUUUGACUUAGGUCAUGAUCAGGGGUAAAAUGGUCAUUUUACCCCAAAGGACAGUUAGCAGUGUUUGAUUGAGUAUGUUAUGGGAAUUGCAGCCGGAGGAUUUCCGGAGCAACAGCAGCAGCAGUAGACAGUCAGUUCCUGCUCAGAUCAGCAGCUACUUCGAGGUGAGUUACCUUCCAGUAGCGGUGGGUCUACGGCCACAAUGCCGGCCCACCAGUAGGAGUCGUAUGUUAGAUGAUUGUCUUUGUGACAUCAUCUAGGUUGCUACUAUCUGAUAUGUUAUGUGCUAGCAUGUUAUGUUAUAUGUGAUAAUAGUAGAGUUCGGUUGUUAGGACCGGAGGGUAGUCAGACACCCCAGAAAUGUCUGACAGUACGUGACGAUGUGUUUGCAUGCUGGCCUGUUAUGUUAUAUGCGAUAGAGGUAGUAGGAGGGGACUAGUCCCCGAGGAUCGGUUGUUAGGACCGAUGGGUAGUCAGCACCCCAGAAUGGCUUGACAUGGGUAGUCAGCACCCCAGAAUGGCUUGACAUGGGUAGUAGGCACCCCAGAAUGGCUUGACACAGGUAGUCGGCACCCCAGAAUGGUCGUACCGGGUAGUCAGGCACCCCAGAAUAGCCUGGCAGUAUGCGUGUUAUUUGUUUGUAUGGUAUGUGGUACGAUGGGGGAACUCACUAAG